rnacentral:rRNA from 1 species
AUUAGAUACCCGUCUAUUCAUGACAUAUCUACAGCAGUUGAAUAUUACGAACAACAGUUUAAAAUUCAAAGAUUUUGGCGGUGUCUUAUAAAACCAGGGGAACCUGUCUCAUAACUCGACAAUCCACGUAUACCCAACCUUCCAUUGAUUCUACAGCAUGUGUACUGCCGUUGUAAGCAUACCUUUAAGAGAGUAGUAUGCUACUAUGACAAAUUAACUCAUAUACAUCAGGUCAAAGUGCAGCCUAUGGGAAGGUGAUGAUGGGUUACAACCCCAAAACAGAAUAUCAACUAAGAAAUAAAAAAUCUUAUGAAAGUGGGCUUGGCCGUAAUUAAUUUACAAGUUAAAAAAAUGAAUAAAAUCUAAGACAUGUACACAUCGCCCGUCACUCUAUCCUAAAGGUUAGAUAAGUCGUAAC